rnacentral:rRNA from 1 species
CCGUUAGUACGGCGAGUGAAGCGGCAACAGCUCAAAUUUGAAAGCUGGCCCUUUUAGGGUCCGCAUUGUAAUUUGUAGAGGAUGAUUCGGCGAGGGCUCCUGCCUAAGUCCCCUGGAACGGGGCGUCAUAGAGGGUGAGAAUCCCGUAUGCGGUAGGUUGCCUUAGCCAUGUGAAUCUCCUUCGACGAGUCGAGUUGUUUGGGAAUGCAGCUCUAAAUGGGAGGUAAAUUUCUUCUAAAGCUAAAUACCGGCCAGAGACCGAUAGCGCACAAGUAGAGUGAUCGAAAGAUGAAAAGCACUUUGGAAAGAGAGUUAAAAAGUACGUGAAAUUGUUGAAAGGGAAGCGCUUGCAACCAGACUUGUCCGCAGUUGCUCAGCCGGUCUCCUGACCGGCGUACUCUUCUGCGGCCAGGCCAGCAUCAGUUCGGGCGGUCGGAUAAAGGCCUCGGGAAUGUAGCUCCUCUCGGGGAGUGUUAUAGCCCGGGGUGGAAUGCGGCCAGCCUGGACUGAGGAACUCGCUUCGGCAAGGAUGCUGGCGUAAUGGUUGUAAGCGGCCCGUCUUU